CUGCAUCCGGACGCGGGGAAUGCGGUAGUAAAAUUUUCCAGGCUAGCCAUCAACUGCACCAUUAAAACUAAAACUGGAAAAGAUACAUGAUGUAUUUCAGGCUCCGGCAAUAUGCAGUGCACCAUGAGAUCGCUAAGAGACGGGGAGCUCACAGGUGAGACCCAUUGCUUAGAUAUCUAUCUAUGGGAAAUUUCUCAUCAUAUAGGGAUAAUGUCUGAGCAGGACACUGCUGUAUUCUGAGCUGAGAACGUGGAGAUCAGAGAUGGGGCAGCUGAGUCUGAGAGGUGUAUGUUACAGACUGAACAUUUGUGUCCUCCCGUAUUAGUCUGUUUCUGCUACUAUAACAUAAAUACCUUAGACUCGCUGGUUUAUAAACAACAGGAAUUUAUUUCUCAUAUUUCUGGAGUUUGGGAAGUUGAAGAUCAAGGCACCGAAAAGUUUGGUGUUGGCGAGGGCCUGUUCCUCAUUGAUGACACGUUCUAUGUGGGCUUACACAGCAGAAGGGUCAAUGAAGCUCCCUUCAACCUCUUUUAUAAGGGCACUUAAUCACUUCCCACAAGGUUUCUUCUCUUAAUCUUAGCACUUUGAGCAUUGUAUUCCAACAUUUGAAUUUUGGGGGACAACAGUCAGAUCAUAA
rnacentral:lncRNA from 1 species